UUUACGGCGGCGGAGGCGAUGAAGUGGUGGCUGAGCUUGAGCAAAUGGUUUUUUUUUUUUUUUUUGGUUUUUGUUAUCAGUCUCUU
rnacentral:sRNA from 1 species